UUCCCUCAAUUCCUCAUGGAUUCCAUCAUCAGACCAGAACCAAAAAUAAUACGGAAACACCUUGGAGGUAACUCCUUUCAAACAAAAAAGAAUUACUCAAAUCGGACUACGGAUGUCG